AUGUUGGGUUAAGUCCCGCAACGAGCGCAACCCUUAUCCUUUGUUGCCAGCGGUCCGGCCGGGAACUCAAAGGAGACUGCCAGUGAUAAACUGGAGGAAGGUGGGGAUGACGUCAAGUCAUCAUGGCCCUUACGACCAGGGCUACACACGUGCUACAAUGGCGCAUACAAAGAGAAGCGACCUCGCGAGAGCAAGCGGACCUCAUAAAGUGCGUCGUAGUCCGGAUUGGAGUCUGCAACUCGACUCCAUGAAGUCGGAAUCGCUAGUAAUCGUGGAUCAGAAUGCCACGGUGAAUACGUUCCCGGGCCUUGUACACACCGCCCGUCACACCAUGGGAGUGGGUUGCAAAAGAAGUAGGUAGCUUAACCUUCGGGAGGGCGCUUACCACUUUGUGAUUCAUGACUGGGGUGAAGUCGUAACAAGGUAACCGUAGGGGAACCUGCG
rnacentral:rRNA from 1 species